CAAGACGUAGCUAUAAACCCAAAGCAUUCAGCUUACACCUGAAAGAUGCCUACUAACACAAGGCCGCCUUGA
rnacentral:tRNA from 1 species